rnacentral:rRNA from 1 species
ACCAGCAGCCAUUUCACCCUGAAGCUCACAACUGACAACCCAAUGAAGCUCAGCAGGUGUGAGUCUGGUCAGUACCUGGAUGGGAGACCUCCUGGGGAAAAACUAAGGUUGCUGAUG